CAAAAAAUAGGUUUACAAAGUUCUAAAAAGAAAAUUUAAGAGAAAAAAAGAUAUCAUUAAAAAGCCUAGUUCUCAAAUAUACUUUUUGAAAUAAAAGACAACGUGAUUAAAGCAACUGAAUUUCACAAACAUUGACAGUAAAUUCAAAUGCAAAUGUAAAAAAAAAGACACUUUACAAGUACAAGAAAUAAAGGAAUCGAUUAAAACACGAAUAUAUAUUGCCAAGAAAAAUCCAGUCAAAAAUUUCAUGUUAAAACCGGGAAAUGAACUUGAGAUUUUUGCAAAGAAUCGAUCAAGUCAUACACAUAUUUAAAUUGUGUGAAGGUUUGAACCAUCUUCAUCCGCUGCUUUCGGAUAUGAUCAACCAACUGGAAAACGACGUCUGAAGAAUCGGCGACAGAAGGAUUGAAACCAGAAAGUUUGCUUUCUGGGAAGCGUAGGAUCGUAUCUAGUACAAUAAAGGUUCCUGUCCGACCAACACCGGCAGAGCAGUGCACAAUAGUAUUUCCUGAUCCGUGAGAGUUGUUCACAUAUUUUAAGAACUCAACCAUAGAUUUCACGUUUUCAGGAGAAUUACAAUCAGACCAAUUAGGAUAUUGAUAGUGAUGUACUUUUUUAACUGAAGGAAAAUUGGCAUUCUGAAUUUCAAACUUUCGCAAAAUGAAUCGAGAAUUAUCGACAUUUUCCUCCGAAAUUUGUUUGACACAGUAAUCUCCAUACACUUGUUUAUCUCCAAUACCAUUACUUGGCCAAUAUGCAGUACACAUUUCGCGGCCAGCCUCGAACAAUGAACCAAGCAUAACAAUAGUGCCUAUAUUCUCCACAUUGUCCCAUACCAUGUGCCAGAAAUCGCUAAUAGAACGAGAAAUAGAACCUUGGCAAGCGAUGUAAUUUGAAGUUUCAGUUUUGAUAAAGGAAGCAUUGAUAUAAUCGAGCUCUGAAGGGCUAGUUCUUUUCAAAUGCACACGAGUACAAUUGUAAGGAACAAUGUCGGUAUAUCUGUUUUUCUUAUACGAUGUAUUACUCAAUGAAUCAACGGUACUCCACUGAGAAUUACGAUCCGAACAAGAAACUAGACGUUGAUGCUCCAAUGAUUGCAGGCGCAAGAACUUCUGGUAGAGGGUCGCAACAUCUGGAUUGGUAAAAGCAUCGGGCACACUGUGUAAGCAGGGUGUCUGGACUGUAGCACUGCCAAAUGGAGAAGAUUUGUUGUCCUUGUUCUCAGGUAGAGGACAGAAAAAGUUAUUUAAAGACAAACCGGCAACAUUAGGAGUGGGAGGAGGACGAGAGAAGUAAUCGGAGCCUUCGCUGGACAAAGAGAUAGGAGCAGUUUGAGCAGCAGAGUAAGACAAUCUGGGGCGAGCGCUAGGCAAAGCACCUAAUUUACUUUUUACAGGAGAGUUGUCAAUCACAGAUGGAUACUUGCCCGAGACUUUCGAAUAGUCUAAAUCUAAAAUACCGAAGUCACCAGAAUAGGAUUCUUUUCUAAAUUUUUCACCAAUUACCUCAGCGUUCGUUACGUAGUUAGCAAUCCAAGCAGGAACACAAACAAGAAUGGAUGAAAACUCUUGCCAGUUUUGAAAAUCUCUCUUGUCGUCGACGUCGUGAAGAUUGCUGAUGAUACGCGCGACCGAAAAGGCAGGACGCUUAAUUAAGGUUGCAGGUAAAGAAAGAUUGACGGAGCCCUUAAUUCUAGAUUUGGAAAACUCGGAUACGGGACGAAGGUCGAUGAUCAAUGUGUCAUCCUUCCAAGCUUCCUUGUCGAGAUAUUCUUGGAGGCAAGAAGCAUGAACAGCAUACUUACUCGUUGCUACACCCCGCUGAGGAGGUAAAGCAAUACAUGAACCCGAAGGAGCAAUUGUAAAAGUAGACGAUUUUGAACCGUUUGAAAAAUUCAUCGUGGUUUUUUAGAUGAAUGUUUUGUAUUAAGAAUAUUUGGCCUUAAAAAAGAAGCAGAGAUGAUUAAAAAAAAAAGUAAAAAAGUAAAAAAAAAUUCAGACUUCUUAAAUAAAAUACAAAUAUUGGAUAGCACAAGUUUUGAAGGCCGAAAGCAAAAUAAUGAAUGGAUAGGAAAUAUCAAAAUUACGGAAAAUCCAGGGUUCUAAAAAGGAAAGAAUUAACGCAAAAUUUGGCAAUAAAAUUAGUAAAAUAUAGAAGGAAACAAGAGAAGAUUCAAAUCAAGUCUGAGAUGAAAAAAGUUUUUCAAUUCAAACUUUCUGCAGAAAAUAAAGAUGGAAGAGUUUUAGAGGGGAUGAGGAGUAUCCAAUUCAAAGAAUGGGUUUGAAUCAGUACUAUGCAAAUAUGAGAAUAAAAAGGGGGAAUCCUUAAAAAUUAACGGAUUAAUGAAUCGUCACUUCAAAGGUCAAGCGAUUUUAAGAGGAAAAUAAAAAUACUGCUUGUGAGUGCACAGUGCAAGAUUGCAAAAAGCAACACUAUUUAAGAAAUUAUUUCGUAUUUAGUAGAAAAUGCAAAAAGGUAGGGCACACGCACGAAAACAGUAACCAGACUGAACAAAAAUAUAAGAUAGAGGGUAUAAGAAAUAUUAUAAGUUGCAGUUUGUCAAAGUGCAGAAAAGUAUACAAGUAGGAGAUCGAGGAACGAAAAGAGGUAGAGGCUAAUUGAAAUGUAAUGACAAUGGAAUAAUUUUCCUACAAAACAGAAAACCCAAUUUAAAAGUCAGAAGCGUAUUCAAAGCUAAAGGGGGGAACCAAAAGCACGUUGAUGCAACAAACUAGCAAAAACGUAAGGUCAACUAAGGAUGAAAAUUACAGAGCACACGUCUGUAAAUAAACCAAAUGAAUGGUGAAUACUUAGACAGAUGAGUUCAGAAAAAAAGAAACAGAACUAUUCAGAAUGCAGAACCCCACAAAAAAAACAAUAGACAAGUAACCACCAAGACCCCAAAGUGAAGUGAAAACAAACGGUAAAGCAAUGAAGAAAAUGGGAAAAAAAUUCAAAACUUAAUCCGAAAAACUCAAGGGAAAGGAAUAUAUGAGCUCUUCAAAGGUUCAAAAAAAGCGAUACUACACUGUGGAAAGAAACCCAAGAGUACACCUUUUUGAGAAAAGACAAAGAAAAUGAUGAAACGAGAAAUAGGAUAACUAGAAAAGGAGAAUUCCGAAAAUAUGAAAAUAUCA
rnacentral:lncRNA from 1 species